rnacentral:rRNA from 1 species
UACGGAGGGUGCAAGCGUUAAUCGGAAUUACUGGGCGUAAAGGGUGCGUAGGUGGCGCCGUAAGUCGGGUGUGAAAUUUCGGAGCUUAACUCCGAAACUGCAUUCGAUACUGCGGUGCUUGAGGACUGGAGAGGAGACUGGAAUUCAUGGUGUAGCAGUGAAAUGCGUAGAGAUCAUGAGGAAGACCAGUGGCGAAGGCGGGUCUCUGGACAGUUCCUGACACUGAGGCACGAAGGCCAGGGGAGCAAACGGG